rnacentral:rRNA from 1 species
UACGUAGGGUGCGAGCGUUAUUCGGAAUUACUGGGCGUAAAGCGUGCGUAGGCGGUUCGUUAAGUUCGUUGUGAAAGCCCCGGGCUCAACCUGGGAAUGGCAAUGGAAACUGGCGGGCUGGAGUAUGGCAGAGGGGGGUGGAAUUCCGCGUGUAGCAGUGAAAUGCGUAGAGAUGCGGAGGAACACCGAUGGCGAAGGCAGCCCCCUGGGCCAAUACUGACGCUCAGGCACGAAAGCGUGGGGAGCAAACAGG